CAAAUUAGACUAUAGCCCAGAACUUUCAAAAAGAUGCAAAAAAAAAAACAAUUUAUUUUUAUUUUUUUUAUUUUUAUUAUAAUAACUGAAAAAAAAACAAAAAAAACAAAAAAAACAAAAUAAAACAAAGGUCUCCCUCCCCCAGACUUAAAACAAGCAUUGUCCUCAAUGAAAGGACAUAAUUAUUAAAGUAAAGAGAAGGAAAGGACAACUCCCUGAUCAAGUUGUAGUGUAGUUAGGUGCUUCCAAAGAAAGCUCCUCUAUACCGACAUCUUCAGGCACCGAACCUCCAUAGAAUAACUUCAGACGCU
rnacentral:lncRNA from 1 species